rnacentral:rRNA from 1 species
GACGAACGCUGGCGGCGUGCUUAACACAUGCAAGUCGAACGAUGAAGCCGGAGCUUGCUCUGGUGAAUUAGUGGCGAACGGGUGAGUAACACGUGAGUAACCUGCCCUUGACUCUGGGAUAACUGCGGGAAACUGUAGCUAAUACCGGAUACGACCCUCGGAGGCAUCUCCUGGGGGUGGAAAGAAUUUCGGUCAAGGAUGGACUCGCGGCCUAUCAGCUAGUUGGUGAGGUAAAGGCUCACCAAGGCGACGACGGGUAGCCGGCCUGAGAGGGUGACCGGCCACACAGGGGCUGAGCACCGGCCCAGACUCCUACGGGAGGCAGCAGUGGGGAAUAUUGCACAAUGGGCGCAAGCCUGAUGCAGCAACGCCGCGUGAGGGAUGACGGCCUUCGGGUUGUAAACCUCUUUUAGCAGGGAAGAAGCGAAAGUGACGGUACCUGCAGAAUAAGCACCGGCUAACUACGUGCCAGCAGCCGCAGUAA